CAAUAGCGUAUAUUAAAGUUGUUGCAGUUAAAAAGCUCGUAGUUGAAUUUCUGGCGGGCGCGCCGGUCUUCCAAGUGUUGUACUGGGCGCAGUCCGCCAUCCUUGUGGAGAGGGCUCGCAUUGAGUUGCGUGUCGGAUCUGCAUCAUUUACUGUGAAAAAAUUAGAGUGUUUAAAGCAGGCUGUCGCUUGAAUACAUUAGCAUGGAAUAAUAAGAUAGGACUUCGGUCUAUUUUGUUGGUUGCGAACCGAGGUAAUGAUUAAUAGGGAUAGUUGGGGGUAUUCAUAUUUAAUUGUCAGAGGUGAAAUUCUUGGAUUUAUGAAAGAUGAACAACUGCGAAAGCAUUUACCAAGGACGUUUUCAUUAA
rnacentral:rRNA from 1 species